rnacentral:rRNA from 1 species
UGUGGUUAGGGGUGAAAUGCCAAUCGAACUCGGAGCUAGCUGGUUCUCCCCGAAAUGUGUUUAGGCGCAGCGGUUGUGAUUAUAGUUUGGGGGUAAAGCACUGUUUCGGUGCGGGCGGCGAAAGCUGUACCAAAUCGAGACAAACUCAGAAUACCAAAUGCACACACAACCAGACAGACGGUGGGGGAUAAGCUUCAUCGUCAAGAGGGAAACAGCCCAGACCACCAGCUAAGGUCCCCAAAUUGUCACUAAGUGAUAAAGGAGGUGGGAGUGCAAAGACAACCAGGAGGUUUGCCUAGAAGCAGCCAUCCUUGAAAGAGUGCGUAAUAGCUCACUGGUCAAGUGAUUCCGCGCCGACAAUGUAGCGGGGCUCAAGUUAUCCGCCGAAGCUGUGGCAACUUUUUUAAGUUGGGUAGGGGAGCGUCGUGUUCGUGGUGAAGCAGCCUGGUGAUGGGUUGUGGAGUGGAUGCGAGUGAGAAUGCAGGCAU